rnacentral:rRNA from 1 species
UACGGAGGAUCCGAGCGUUAUCCGGAUUUAUUGGGUUUAAAGGGUGCGUAGGUGGAUUGGUAAGUCAGUGGUGAAAGUUUGCAGCUUAACUGUAAAAUUGCCGUUGAAACUGCCGGUCUUGAGUGCAAAUGAGGUAGGCGGAGUGCGUCGUGUAGCGGUGAAAUGCUUAGAUAUGACGCAGAACUCCGAUUGCGAAGGCAGCUUACUAAGCUACUACUGACGCUCAGGCACGAAGGCGUGGGGAUCAAACAGGAUUAGAUACCCCCGUAGU